CAGCCGCCACGGUAAUACAGAGGGUGCAAGCGUUAAUCGGAAUUACUGGGCGUAAAGCGCGCGUAGGUGGUUUGUUAAGUUGGAUGUGAAAUCCCCGGGCUCAACUCGAAGUCUGCAUCGAAAACUGCCGGGCUUGAGUGUGGGAGAGGUGAGUGGAAUUUCCGGUGUAGCGGUGAAAUGCGUAGAUAUCGGAAGGAACACCUGUGGCGAAAGCGGCUCACUGGACCAUAACUGACGCUGAUGCACGAAAGCUAGGGGAGCAAACAGGAUUAGAUACCCCCGUAGUCCCUGUCUCUUAUAC
rnacentral:rRNA from 1 species